rnacentral:snRNA from 1 species
GGAUGUGAGGGUGAUCUGGCUGCAACAUCUGUCAUCCCACCAUUGAUCGCCAGGGUUGAUUCGGCUUCCUCCCUCACCACUCCACCUACGUCCCUCCCGAAGCUGCGAGCUCACUCAGAGGAAGAGGACAACCUUUCUGAUAGAGGAGGAGUGUUCUUCAGUCAAGGGUAUACGAGUAGCUGUGCUCGCCUGCUAGAACCUCCAAACAAGCUCUCAAAAACCCAAACAUUAUUGGUACAAUUGGUGAACUUAAAUAGGGUGUGAGGAAUAGGGUGUGAGGAUUAUAUGGUAGUAAUUUAUCAAUGUUAAUUUUCUG